rnacentral:rRNA from 1 species
CGUACACUCCUGCGGGAGGCAGCAGUGGGGAAUAUUGGACAAUGGGCGCAAGCCUGAUCCAGCCAUGCCGCGUGAGUGAUGAAGGCCCUAGGGUUGUAAAGCUCUUUCACCGGUGAAGAUAAUGACGGUAACCGGAGAAGAAGCCCCGGCUAACUUCGUGCCAGCAGCCGCGGUAAUACGAAGGGGGCUAGCGUUGUUCGGAUUUACUGGGCGUAAAGCGCACGUAGGCGGACUAUUAAGUCAGGGGUGAAAUCCCGGGGCUCAACCCCGGAACUGCCUUUGAUACUGGUAGUCUUGAGUUCGAGAGAGGUGAGUGGAAUUCCGAGUGCAGAGGUGAAAUUCGUAGAUAUUCGGAGGAACACCAGUGGCGAAGGCGGCUCACUGGCUCGAUACUGACGCUGAGGUGCGAAAGCGUGGGGAGCAAACAGGAUUAGAAACCCCAGUAGUCCC